rnacentral:rRNA from 1 species
AGAGUUUGAUCCUGGCUCAGAUUGAACGCUGGCGGCAUGCCUUACACAUGCAAGUCGAACGGCAGCGCGGACUUCGGUCUGGCGGCGAGUGGCGAACGGGUGAGUAAUACAUCGGAACGUACCCUGUUGUGGGGGAUAACUAGUCGAAAGAUUAGCUAAUACCGCAUACGACCUGAGGGUGAAAGUGGGGGACCGCAAGGCCUCACGCAGCAGGAGCGGCCGAUGUCUGAUUAGCUAGUUGGUGGGGUAAAGGCCCACCAAGGCGACGAUCAGUAGCUGGUCUGAGAGGACGAUCAGCCACACUGGGACUGAGACACGGCCCAGACUCCUACGGGAGGCAGCAGUGGGGAAUUUUGGACAAUGGGGGCAACCCUGAUCCAGCAAUGCCGCGUGUGUGAAGAAGGCCUUCGGGUUGUAAAGCACUUUUGUCCGGAAAGAAAUCGCGCUGGUUAAUACCUGGCGUGGAUGACGGUACCGGAAGAAUAAGCACCGGCUAACUACGUGCCAGCAGCCGCGGUAAUACGUAGGGUGCGAGCGUUAAUCGGAAUUACUGGGCGUAAAGCGUGCGCAGGCGGUUUUGUAAGACAGGCGUGAAAUCCCCGGGCUUAACCUGGGAAUUGCGCUUGUGACUGCAAGGCUAGAGUGCGUCAGAGGGGGGUAGAAUUCCACGUGUAGCAGUGAAAUGCGUAGAGAUGUGGAGGAAUACCGAUGGCGAA